rnacentral:rRNA from 1 species
GACAGAGGGUGCAAACGUUGCUCGGAAUCACUGGGCGUAAAGGGCGUGUAGGCGGGCAGAUAAGUCGGGCGUGAAAUCCCCAGGCUCAACCUGGGAACUGCACUCGAAACUGUUUGUCUUGAGUAACGGAGAGGAAAGCGGAAUACCUGGUGUAGAGGUGAAAUUCGUAGAUAUCAGGUGGAACACCAGUGGCGAAGGCGGCUUUCUGGACGAUAACUGACGCUGAGACGCGAAAGCGUGGGGAGCAAACAGG